UACGGGGGGGCCAGCGUUGUUCGGAAUUACUGGGCGUAAAGGGCGCGUAGGCGGCCUUCUAAGUCAGACGUGAAAUCCCCCGGCUUAACCUGGGAACUGCGUCUGAUACUGGAGGGCUUGAGUGCGGGAGAGGGAUGUGGAAUUCCCGGUGUAGUGGUGAAAUGCGUAGAUAUCGGGAGGAACACCAGUGGCGAAGGCGACUACCUGGCCUGUUUCUUGACGCUGAGGCGCGAAAGCUAGGGGAGCAAACGGG
rnacentral:rRNA from 1 species